CAGUGAGAGAAAAGUGGAAUUCAGUUUUAUUUUGUCCUCUCUGAAACUUCCAUUUAUACCAUGUCCUCAUCUAUCAAAGAAGAGGAAGAAAAAGCCCUGCUUUAUGCCGUAGAAUGCAAGUACUGGUAUACUUGUUAGAGGUGGCAGGAUGUUUGUUGCUCCAGUUUUUUGGCUUCGAGAGAUUACACUUUCGGUACCAGUGUAGUGAGAAAUCACUGGCAAACUGCUAGAAAUGUCUUCUGGAUUUGUCAGUGUAUCAUUUCAUAAAGUGCUCCUGGAAUUAAAAUCUGCCAGGCUGUCAAAAGUGUCCACACUUUUGCAACAAAGGAUAAAAGAAUCCC
rnacentral:lncRNA from 10 species